GAUCAUUAUGAUGAUGCGGUUAUUGAUCUCGUGCCUCACCUGCUGACUCGCCAGUGUUGAUCCAGUCUGGAUUGGCUAUGCUCGCGAUGGCGAAUAUAUCCGCGGCCAGAAACAGACAUCCUGAAAUAAUGGCCGCUGGGAGAACUUCCAGAAGCAAUGGUUCAUGAACCGUGAUUCCCCCACAGACGCUCUUCAGAGGAACGAUGAAGAAUCAGACACCGAGAACUGAUCACAGAUAGACUUGUUUUAAUGAAUGUACAUCAGAUAUACAGUGAAAUGGCUGAAACUGAUGCCUCUGCUCCCAGUGAACCAGACUUCAUGAUCAACUGAAACAACUGUCAACAUUAAUCAGGGAUUCACACACGUUUAAGAGUGUUUUUACACUCAAAUAAGCAGCUGCACAAUGUGUGCAUUUAGACUGGGACUUUCUCUCACAAUUCAUCAACAAAUGGAGUGUUUGCCAGAUGUCCACAACAUGACAUGGUCUUCUUGCUCUCGACAAACUUCUUUGCAGCCUGUGAAGGAAACAACAACAGAUUUCUGUGGUCAAACAUCAUCCAACAGUUACUGUAUCUUUACUGCUUUAACGGCUUCAUCAGCAAGUGGUUGAUUAGUGGUAUUUAGGUAGUGUUGAACAGCAGAGCAUGACGCUAGCAACAUUAAAACAUCAAGUCUGGGGUAACAUCAAAUUAAAGGUGUGUAACCUUGAAUGCAAUGUAAGCUGCUUUGGAUGAAUGCAUAUAUAUUUAAUAUUCGCUGAUGCUCUCUUUUUUACUUAAUCCUCACUGUUUGUGGAGCAGCAAAUCAUCAUAUCAGAAUGAUUUCUGAAGGAUCGUGUGACACUGAAGACUGGAGGAAUGACGCUGAAAAUUCAGCUUUGUUCAUAGAAAUAAAUGACAUUUAAAAAAAAAAUAUUACCGUCCCCAAA